UAGAAAAUGCAUGUAAUCUCAGAUAGUGUUUUGAAACACCAGUUCCAUUAACCCAAAGUAAAGUUUAAAUAGUUAUUUACUAAUUCAUUUAUCUGAAUAUUACCAUCCUUAUAUGGUACUAUACUGUACUAAAAUUGAUGUAACUGUCCCCACUUGAAUAACUUACAUUGCUUUACUUAACUCAUACGUGUUACACUAAGCCGAAAGUUACAUAGAGUAUAGUCUGUGAUUCUACACAAAUUAAUUUCAAUAGGAGAAGGAAUAUCGAAUUAGAUCAUCAACUAAAUUGAACGAAUGUAUCAGUUAUAUUCAAUUUUCUGUUUUGUAAUGGUGUUAUUGAUAUAAUAAAUGAAUGAAUUAUUUUACAGUUAUUGAUGGACCGACUGGAGAGGGAUUGAGGUACCCGUGUGAGCGCUGCGGCAAAACUUACACUCUGAGGAGCACUUUGCUCAGGCACCUGAGGAGUGAAUGUGGAGUGGAACCGAAGUUUUCUUGCCCUUACUGCAGCCACAGAUCCAAGCGAAAAAGUGACCUUAAAACACAUAUAGGAAUCAAGCACUCGAAUUUUAUUCUCCCCUAAACAGCUAAUUUUGUCUAAAGAUUGUAACUGAUAUAAUAAUGGACAAGUGACCGGUGAAAGAAUGAGGCACCCGUGCAACAGAUGUGGCAAAACUUACAAAUUGAAAAGAGAUUUACAAAGGCACUUGAGAGAUGAGUGUGGAGUGGCGCCCAGGUUCUCUUGCCAUCUUUGCAACCACAGAUCGAAGCGCAAAAGCGACCUCAAAGCACAUAUAGGCGUCAGACACUCCAACAUUUUUCUCCCAUGAUCCAACAAUCAAUUUUUCCAAACAAAAAUGUUCGUGUUCUGCGAGAACUCAAUAACUCAGCAAUAAUAAUAACAUUUUUGUAUACUCUGUUAUUUUAUUAUGUUUUUGAAAAUACACAUAAUUAUCACAGGA